UCCGGUUUGUCACCGGCAGUCCCAUUAGAGUGCCCAACUGAAUGUAGCAACUAAUGGCAAGGGUUGCGCUCGUUGCGGGACUUAACCCAACAUCUCACGACACGAGCUGACGACAGCCAUGCAGCACCUGUGUCUAGGUUCCCUUUCGGGCACACUCACAUUUCUGCGAGCUUCCUAGCAUGUCAAGGGUAGGUAAGGUUUUUCGCGUUGCAUCGAAAGGGAACCUAGACACAGGUGCUGACUCCGGCCGAACCGAAGGUACGAUCUCUCGUACCGGCGAGUC
rnacentral:misc_RNA from 1 species